rnacentral:rRNA from 1 species
CCUUGACAUGCAGAGAACUUUCCAGAGAUGGAUUGGUGGCCUUCGGGAACUCUGACACAGGUGCUGCAUGGCUGUCGUCAGCUCGUGUCGUGAGAUGUUGGGUUAAGUCCCGUAACGAGCGCAACCCUUGUCCUUAGUUACCAGCACGUUAUGGUGGGCACUCUAAGGAGACUGCCGGUGGACAAACCGGAGGAAGGUGGGGGAUGACGUCAAGUCAUCAUGGCCCUUACGGCCUGGGCUACACACGUGCUACAAUGGUCGGUACAAAGGGUUGCCAAGCCGCGAGGUGGAGCUAAUCCCAUAAAACCGAUCGUAGUCCGGAUCGCAGUCUGCAACUCGACUGCGUGAAGUCGGAAUCGCUAGUAAUCGUGAAUCAGAAUGUCACGGUGAAUACGUUCCCGGGCCUU